rnacentral:rRNA from 1 species
GACGAACGCUGGCGGCGUGCUUAACACAUGCAAGUCGAACGGAAAGGCCCUGCUUUUGUGGGGUGCUCGAGUGGCGAACGGGUGAGUAACACGUGAGUAACCUGCCCUUGACUUUGGGAUAACUUCAGGAAACUGGGGCUAAUACCGGAUAGGAGCUCCUGCUGCAUGGUGGGGGUUGGAAAGUUUCGGCGGUUGGGGAUGGACUCGCGGCUUAUCAGCUUGUUGGUGGGGUAGUGGCUUACCAAGGCUUUGACGGGUAGCCGGCCUGAGAGGGUGACCGGCCACAUUGGGACUGAGAUACGGCCCAGACUCCUACGGGAGGCAGCAGUGGGGAAUAGUGCACAAUGGGCGGAAGCCUGAUGCAGCAACGCCGUGUGCGGGAUGACGGCCUUCGGGUUGUAAACCGCUUUCGCCUGUGACGAAGCGUGAGUGACGGUAAUGGGUAAAGAAGCACCGGCUAACUACGUG